rnacentral:rRNA from 1 species
AUUGAACGCUGGCGGCAGGCCUAACACAUGCAAGUCGAGCGGAUGAAGGGAGCUUGCUCCUGGAUUCAGCGGCGAACGGGUGAGUAAUGCCUAGGAAUCUGCCUGGUAGUGGGGGAUAACGUCCGGAAACGGGCGCUAAUACCGCAUACGUCCUGAGGGAGAAAGUGGGGGAUCUUCGGACCUCACGCUAUCAGAUGAGCCUAGGUCGGAUUAGCUAGUUGGUGGGGUAAAGGCCUACCAAGGCGACGAUCCGUAACUGGUCUGAGAGGAUGAUCAGUCACACUGGAACUGAGACACGGUCCAGACUCCUACGGGAGGCAGCAGUGGGGAAUAUUGGACAAUGGGCGGAAGCCUGCUCCAGCCAUGCCGCGUGUGUGAAGAAGGUCUUCGGAUUGUAAAGCACUUUAAGUUGGGAGGAAGGGCAGUAAGUUAAUACCUUGCUGUUUUGACGUUACCAACAGAAUAAGCACCGGCUAACUUCGUG